AGUGAACGCUGGCGGUAGGCCUAACACGUGCAAGUCGAACGGCAGCACAGUAAGAGCUUGCUCUUACGGGUGGCGAGUGGCGGACGGGUGAGGAAUACAUCGGAAUCUACUUUUUCGUGGGGGAUAACGUAGGGAAACUUACGCUAAUACCGCAUACGACCUACGGGUGAAAGCAGGGGAUCUUCGGACCUUGCGCGAUUGAAUGAGCCGAUGUCGGAUUAGCUAGUUGGCGGGGUAAAGGCCCACCAAGGCGACGAUCCGUAGCUGGUCUGAGAGGAUGAUCAGCCACACUGGAACUGAGACACGGUCCAGACUCCUACGGGAGGCAGCAGUGGGGAAUAUUGGACAAUGGGUGCAAGCCUGAUCCAGCCAUACCGCGUGGGUGAAGAAGGCCUUCGGGUUGUAAAGCCCUUUUGUUGGGAAAGAAAAGCAGCAGGUUAAUACCCCGCUGUUCUGACGGUACCCAAAGAAUAAGCACCGGCUAACUUCGUG
rnacentral:rRNA from 1 species